GACGGAGGAUGCAAGCGUUAUCCGGAAUUAUUGGGCGUAAAGCGUCCGCAGGUGGCCGUUCAAGUCUGCUGUCAAAGACCGGGGCUUAACUUCGGAAAGGCAGUGGAAACUGAACAGCUAGAGUAUGGUAGGGGCAGAGGGAAUUCCUGGUGUAGCGGUGAAAUGCGUAGAGAUCAGGAAGAACAUCGGUGGCGAAGGCGCUCUGCUGGACCAUAACUGACACUCAGGGACGAAAGCUAGGGGAGCGAAUGGG
rnacentral:rRNA from 1 species